rnacentral:rRNA from 1 species
UGGGGAAUAUUGCACAAUGGAGGGAACUCUGAUGCAGCGACGCCGCGUGAGUGAUGAAGGACUUCGUUUCGUAAAACUCUGUUCUAUGGGAAGAAAAGGACUGUACCAUAGGAGAAAGCUCCGGCUAAAUACGUGCCAGCAGCCGCGGUAAUACGUAUGGAGCGAGCGUUGUCCGGAAUUAUUGGGCGUAAAGGGUGCGCAGGCGGCUUUACAAGUUGGAUGUGAAAUAUUGUGGCUCAACCACAAACGUGCAUCCAAAACUGCAAAGCUUGAGUUAAGGAGAGGUAAGUGGAAUUCCUGGUGUAGCGGUGGAAUGCGUGGAUAUCAGGAGGAAUACCGGUGGCGAAGGCGACUUACUGGACUUAAAUUGACGCUCAGGCACGAAAGCGUGGGGAGCAAACAGG